AAUUCUUCUCUGAAAACUCAAACGUUCAGCUUCCACUGUUGUUGAUUAGAUAACUAACUUUAAAUAUGUUUGUCAUCUGGUUAAUUGUUUUAUUUUCAGAUCUAAAAGGUUUCAGUUACGGACAGACAAUCCAGCCAAACCAACAUGAAGUCUAUGGAGAAGAAGGUCACCAUGUUACUGUGUCCUGCAACUACUCCUCAGCCCAGAGUCUUCUAUGGUAUAAGCAGUAUCCAGGAUCAGCUCCCCAGUUCCUCCUGCUCAUCCUUCACCCCUCUGGGACAGGAGCUGAGCCUCUGGACUCUCGCCUCUCUGCCAAACUGAACACAGAGAAGACCUGUGUAGAGCUGGAAAUCUCCUCUGUUACAGUGACAGACUCUGCUCUGUACUACUGUGCCCUGAAGCCCACAGUGGCAGAAAACCAAGACACACUGUACUAAAACUUGGCAUUACCUCAGUGAGCUUUUAGAUGCAACAUCACCAAGACCAGCUGACAAUUCUUUGUGAAGAGGAGGAGCUAG